AGAUGGCCAUAACUGCCAUAGCAAAAAUGCUCACAUCACGGCCCUGUCAAAUUCCAAUGAAUCUGCAAAUUCUGCU
rnacentral:ribozyme from 1 species